GGGGGAUUGGCGCAAUGGUAGCGCGUGGCUCUCCUACACUUGUGUCCCAUUCACCGUCAUGUCGUUGGUUGGAAGGGCAGGUGCCAAGCCAAGGUUGUGGGUUCGAGUCCCAUGUUCCUCG
rfam:Cladophialophora immunda strain CBS 83496 unplaced genomic scaffold supercont1.2, whole genome shotgun sequence.